GCCGACACGAGUUGGUGGCUAAGUUUUACUUUACCAUUCCGCUUCUGUUUUGAUAGGAGCAGUGGCUAGUUUUGAAGGCGUGCAUCAUUUACAUUCAAUGCAGGAGGUGCUUUGGAUUUUUUCUUGGGAUGCUUUGCCUGUGUUGAACUGAUAUGUGAGCUGCUAUACUUGAUGCUCAUUGUAUUGUAUAUCUUUUGAUCGGGGUCUCCCAGGGGCUGCAUAGGUUUCUAGGUUGCUUAAGAUUUGUAUUGUCUUGGAUGGUGACGCAUUCUGGACUGUGCUUAUCCGGACACGGCGUAUUGCUUGUUAGAUUUUUUGGAAGUCUGUUUCUUCUUGGCAUGUUGUUGGCUUUUGGACUCUGUAGAUUGCAUCACGCUGUUAGAAGGUACCCUGCAGGCUUUAGAACGAACUUGUAACAGUCUGUAGAAAUGAGUGUAGGGAAAAGCCGGGCAAGCAUCAUGGCAAAGGGAUAUGUUCUUUCCAAUUUGAAGCUUAUUCCUGUCGUUUUGACUUGACUGUAAUGUAAUCUUAGAUCAUAAGGUUGGGACUUGUGUGAACCAUGAAGUUUAACCAUACAAAUUGUAAAUCUAUGCCUGUAUUAAUAAAACUUAGGAACAUCAA